AUUGAACGCUGGCGGAAUGCUUUACACAUGCAAGUCGAACGGCAGCACGGACUUCGGUCUGGUGGCGAGUGGCGAACGGGUGAGUAAUGUAUCGGAACGUGCCCAGUCGUGGGGGAUAACGUAGUGAAAAUUACGCUAAUACCGCAUACGAUCUUUGGAUGAAAGCGGGGGAGCGCCAGACCUCGCGCGAUUGGCGCGGCCGAUAUCAGAUUAGGUAGUUGGUGGGGUAAAGGCCCACCAAGCCAACGAUCUGUAGCUGGUCUGAGAGGACGACCAGCCACACUGGAACUGAGACACGGUCCAGACUCCUACGGGAGGCAGCAGUGGGGAAUUUUGGACAAUGGGCGAAAGCCUGAUCCAGCCAUUCCGCGUGCAGGAUGAAGGCCCUCGGGUUGUAAACUGCUUUUGUACAGAACGAAACGGUCCUGGUUAAUAUCUGGGGCUAAUGACGGUACCGUAAGAAUAAGCACCGGCUAACUACGUGCCAGCCGCCGCGGUAA
rnacentral:rRNA from 1 species